AAUCAUUACCAAUGUGAGAGAUGUGGGAAAGUCUUUUGCCAAUGUGGAAACUUUAUUAUCCAUCAGAGUAUACAUAUUCAACAGGGGCCUUACAAAUGCAAUUAAUGUGGUGAAACUUUGAGCCAGUCCUCAAAACUUACUCAACAGCAGAGAAGUCAUGUUGGAAAAAAUCGCAUACAGAUGCAAAAUAUGUGGGAAAAUAUUCAGUCAGUCAUCAAAUAUAAAUAGACAUAAGAUAAUUCUUAUUGGAGAGGAACGAUUGAAACAUAAAACAUAUGCCAAAGCCUUUCACUGUUACUCAAACUUUACAUAACACCAGAGAAUCCAUACAUGAAGAGAAAUUCUACAAAUGUAAUAAGUGUGACAAAGCAUUUAACUGAUGCUUGUGUCUUACUCAACAUCAGAAAAUUAAUACUGGAGAGAAACCCUAAAAAUGUAAAGAAUGUGGCAAAUUUUUAAUGUGGGCUCAAACCUUACCACACACACACACAAGAUUUAUGCUAGAGAGACAUGCUGCAAGUGUAAAAAAUGAGGCAGAACCUUUAACUGGUGUUCACAACUUACCCAACAUCAGAGAAUUAAUACUGGAUAGAAACCUUAUACAUGUAAGGAAUUUGGAAAGAACUUUGUCCAUAUACCUUAGAGAACACUACAGUAUUUGCACUGGAGAAACACUUUACAAAUGU
rnacentral:lncRNA from 1 species